rnacentral:rRNA from 1 species
UACGGGGGGGCAAGGCGUUGUUCGGAAUUACUGGGCGUAAAGGGCUCGUAGGCGGCCAACUAAGUCAGACGUGAAAUCCCUCGGCUCAACCGGGGAACUGCGUCUGAGACUGGAAGGCUUGAAUCCGGGAGAGGGAUGUGGAUUCCAGGUGUAGCGGUGAAAUGCGUAGAUAUCUGGAGGAACACCGGUGGCGAAGGCGGCAGUCCUGGACCGGUAUUGACGCUGAGGCGCGAAAGCCAGGGGAGACAAAGCGGGG